GAGACUAAGGUGUCAGUAUGUUCUUCAAGCUGCUCUGCUCCUGGGCCCAAGCUAUUCUCCUGCCUCAGCCUUCCAAGAAGCUGAAACUACAAGAACACAAGACUGUACCUGGCUUGCAAACACCAUUGCUAAUAAGAAGAUAUUGUAAGACUGAUACCUAAGAGAUAAGAGAGUCUCACUCAUUCUGUCGCCCAGGCUGGAGUGCAGUGGCGUGAUCUCAGCUCACUGCAACCUCCACCUCCCGGAUUCAAGCGAUUCUCCUGCCUCAGCCUCCUGAGUAGCUGGGACUACAGGCCCUCCCUCCGUUGCCCAGGUGGGAGUGCAGUGGUGUGAUGUCAGUUCACUGCAACCUUGGCCUCCCGGAUUCAAGCGAUUCUCCUGCCUUAACCUUCCGAACAUGGAUCCCUGAGGUCGGUCCCCAAUACGACAAGACAAUUUGAUAUCAUAAUAGAACACUGCAGAAACAAUGCUGAGUGAAGAAGAGUAGAAAUGGGAAGACUUGGUUGAGCGGAAACUGAGUUCUUGAAAAGAGGAGAUGCUUGAUGAGGGCAUGGAUCCCUGAGGUCUGCCCCAGUACUAUAAGACAAUUUGAUGUAAGAAAACACAGCAGAUAUAAUACUGAGUGAAGAAGAGUAUAAAUGAGAAGAUUGGUUGUGCAGAUACUGAGUUCAUGAAAAGAGGAGAUGAUUGAUGAGGCCAGGUGCGGUGACUCAUGCCUGUAAUCCCUGCACUUUGGGAGGCUGCGGCGGGCGGAUCACCUGAGGCAUGGAAACCUAAGGUCUGUACCCAAAACUACAGGACUAUUUGACAUCAUAAUAAAACACUGCAGAUAUGAUGCUGAGUAAGAGUAGAAAUGGGAAGACUUGGUUGUGCAGUAACUGAGUUCUUGAAAAGAGGAGAUGCUUGAUGAGGGCAUGGAUCACUAAGGUCUGUUCCCAAUACAAGAAGACUCUUUGACAUCAUAAUAAAAUACUGCAGAUACGAUGCUGAGUGAAAAAGAGUAGAAAUGGGAAGACUUGGUUGUGCAGAAACUGAGUUCUUAAAGAGAGGAGAUACUUUAUGAGGGCAUGGAAAGCUAAGGUCUUUCCAGAAUACUACAAGAGUACUUGAUAUCAUAAUAAAACACUAUAGAUAUGAUGCUGAGUGAGUAAGAGUAGAAAUGGGAAGACUUGGUUGUGCAGAAACUAAGUUAUUAAAAGGAGGAGAUGCUUGAUGAGGCCCGACUCUUAUUCUGUCACCCAGGCUGGAGUGCACUGGAGCAAUCCUGGCUGGCCAAUACUGAGUUCUUGAAAACAGGAGAUGCUUGAUGAGGAUGGGAUCAUCUAGUUGCAGGAAAACAAGGCUCAGGGUGCCUACUGAUUCUACAUUAUGUUGCAGGGCUUUGACUCCUGGGUACAUGUAUCUCAUCUGAAAGGGAAUCCUGACGCCUACUGAAUCUUAAUAGUCAAUAUUGAUAUCUGGCAUCAAAUUCAAGUUGACCAAAGUUCCAUCUUCAGACCUGGGAGAAGAUGACAGUCAAAAUGAACUGCUUUCAUGUGACACUGGACCAGGCCUAUAUACAAAGGCAUAAGUAAUCAUUGAAUAAUGUUUCAUCUAUCUAUCUUAAUAUAAUUUGUUCUAUGCCUUACUAGAUAAAUGUUUAGUUACCUGUGAGUUUUCUUUUCCUGCCAUUGUCAGAGCUAGGCAGGGCUUAAGUCCCUUUCGUUUAAACAUUACUAACUCUAUACAUAGCUUGCAAAAUUGGAUAAAACAACAAAGGUUACUUUUUCACUCUCUCUCUGCUUAAUAUCUCUGAAAUUUAAAACUAUUCAGAAUCCCACUGGGCCCGAUCUAUUUUCAAUGCUAAUGCUCCACUGCUAAAACUAUAUAAGCAUCUUCCCUCUAGGCUCAGGCACUAUCUUGGAAGAGGUAAAUGUGUAAGAUUGUAAAGGUUGAUUUUUGAGCAACAAAAUUAAUUUAGAUCUUCCAAAUAAAAAAUGGGCACACAGAUGCCCAAACAGUUGGCAAAAUAAGAUACUUUACCUCCUGGACCAGUAUGUGGACCUUUUUCAUCCAUCCCAACCAUAAUUUCCUCUUUCCUGUAGAAUUAAAAGAAAAUUGCAAAGAGGAUAUGAACUUUUCUGGUAAGAAAACCUCCUGGGUAUAGUGCUCCCAGUUAUGAGAUUUAUGCAGAUUGUUAUAUAAAGUUUUUUUAAAUCAAGCACCUUAGGACAAACUAUUAAAAAGACUGCUAAAAGCGUUGUGACACAACAAAAGUCUCUAAAUUCUGUAGCUUAAAAAGUUUUAACAAAGUACUUAUCUUUUGCAAGCUAAUUGCUACAAGUCUAUAACUAAAACAUGUAUUGACUGAUGUCUUAGGUCUCCCUAAAAUAUAUAAAACCAAGUUGUAAACCAAUCACCUUGGACACAUGUUCUCAGGACCUCUGGAGACUGUGCCUUGGGCCAUGGUCACUCAUAUUUGGCUGAGAAUAAAAUUUU
ensembl:lncRNA FIRRE firre intergenic repeating RNA element